AACGCGAAGAACCUUACCAUCCUUUGACAUGGCGUGUUACGUGGAGAGAUUCACGGUCCACUUCGGUGGCGCGCACACAGGUGCUGCAUGGCUGUCGUCAGCUCGUGUCGUGAGAUGUUGGGUUAAGUCCCGCAGCGAGCGCAACCCACGUCCUUAGUUGCCAUCAUUCAGUUGGGCACUCUAGGGAGACUGCCGGUGAUAAGCCGCGAGGAAGGUGUGGAUGACGUCAAGUCCUCAUGGCCCUUACGGGAUGGGCUACACACGUGCUACAAUGGCGGUGACAGUGGGAGGCGAAGGAGCGAUCUGGAGCAAAUCCCCAAAAGCCGUCUCAGUUCGGAUUGCACUCCGCAACUCGAGUGCAUGAAGGCGGAAUCGCUAGUAAUCGUGAUCAGCAUGCCGCGGUGAGUACGUUCCCGGGCCUUGUACACACCG
rnacentral:rRNA from 1 species